rnacentral:rRNA from 1 species
UAAUACGUAGGGUGCGAGCGUUAAUCGGAAUUACUGGGCGUAAAGCGUGCGCAGGCGGUUUUGUAAGUCAGAUGUGAAAUCCCCGGGCUUAACCUGGGAACUGCGUUUGAAACUACAAGGCUAGAGUGUGGCAGAGGGGGGUGGAAUUCCACGUGUAGCAGUGAAAUGCGUAGAGAUGUGGAGGAACACCGAUGGCGAAGGCAGCCCCCUGGGUUAACACUGACGCUCAGGCACGAAAGCGUGGGGAGCAAACAGGAUUAGAUACCCUGGUAGUCCACGCCCUAAACGAUGUCAACUAGUUGUCGGGUCUUAACGGACUUGGUAACGCAGCUAACGCGUGAAGUUGACCGCCUGGGGAGUACGGUCGCAAGAUUA